rnacentral:rRNA from 1 species
GACGAACCGUGCGAACGUUGUUCGGAAUCACUGGGCUUAAAGGGCGCGUAGGCGGGCUGUCAAGUCUGGGGUGAAAUGCCGCGGCUCAACCGUGGAACUGCCUUAGAUACUGACGGCCUUGAGGAAGGUAGGGGCAUGCGGAACUGUAGGUGGAGCGGUGAAAUGCGUUGAUAUCUACAGGAACUCCGGUGGCGAAAGCGGCGUGCUGGACCUUUUCUGACGCUGAGGCGCGAAAGCUAGGGGAGCAAACGGG